rnacentral:rRNA from 1 species
GAUAUGACGAUGGACAUUGCAAAGAGUGGCGAACGGGUGAGUAACACGUGGGAAACCUACCUCUUAGCAGGGGAUAACAUUUGGAAACAGAUGCUAAUACCGUAUAACAAUGACAACCGCAUGGUUGUUAUUUAAAAGAUGGUUCUGCUAUCACUAAGAGAUGGUCCCGCGGUGCAUUAGCUAGUUGGUAAGGUAAUGGCUUACCAAGGCGAUGAUGCAUAGCCGAGUUGAGAGACUGAUCGGCCACAAUGGGACUGAGACACGGCCCAUACUCCUACGGGAGGCAGCAGUAGGGAAUCUUCCACAAUGGGCGAAAGCCUGAUGGAGCAACGCCGCGUGUGUGAUGAAGGGUUUCGGCUCGUAAAACACUGUUGUAAGAGAAGAAUGACAUUGAGAGUAACUGUUCAAUGUGUGACGGUAUCUUACCAGAAAGGAACGGCUAAAUACGUGCCAGCAGCCGCGGUAAUACGUAUGUUCCAAGCGUUAUCCGGAUUUAUUGGGCGUAAAGCGAGCGCAGACGGUUAUUUAAGUCUGAUGUGAAAGCCUCAGGCUUACUCGAGGAAUUGCUUUGGAAACUGGAUGACUUGAGUGCAGAAGAGGAAAGUGGAACUCCAUGUGUAGCGGUGAAAUGCGUAGAUAUAUGGAAGAACACCAGUGGCGAAGGCGGCUUUCUGGACUGUAACUGACGUUGAGGCUCGAAAGUGUGGGUAGCAAACAGGAUUAGAUACCCUGGUAGUCCACACCGUAAACGAUGAGUGCUAGGUGUUUGAGGGUUUCCGCCCUUCAGUGCCGCAGCUAACGCAUUAAGCACUCCGCCUGGGGAGUACGACCGCAAGGUUGAAACUCAAAGGAAUUGACGGGGACCCGCACAAGCGGUGGAGCAUGUGGUUUAAUUCGAAGCAACGCGAAGAACCUUACCAGGUCUUGACAUCCCUUGACAACUCCAGAGAUGGAGCGUUCCCUUCGGGGACAAGGUGACAGGUGGUGCAUGGUUGUCGUCAGCUCGUGUCGUGAGAUGUUGGGUUAAGUCCCGCAACGAGCGCAACCCUUAUUACUAGUUGCCAGCAUUCAGUUGGGCACUCUAGUGAGACUGCCGGUGACAAACCGGAGGAAGGUGGGGAUGACGUCAAAUCAUCAUGCCCCUUAUGACCUGGGCUACACACGUGCUACAAUGGAGUGUACAACGAGUUGCCAACCCGCGAGGGUGAGCUAAUCUCUUAAAGUACUUCUCAGUUCGGAUUGUAGGCUGCAACUCGCCUACAUGAAGUCGGAAUCGCUAGUAAUCGCGGAUCAGCACGCCGCGGUGAAUACGUUCCCGGGUCUUGUACACACCGCCCGUCACACCAUGAGAGUUUGUAACACCCAAA